GAUGAACGCUGGCGGCGUGCCUAAUACAUGCAAGUCGAGCGAACAGACGAGGAGCUUGCUCCUCUGACGUUAGCGGCGGACGGGUGAGUAACACGUGGAUAACCUACCUAUAAGACUGGGAUAACUGCGGGAAACCGGAGCUAAUACCGGAUAAUAUAUUGAACCGCAUGGUUCAAUAGUGAAAGACGGUUUUGCUGUCACUUAUAGAUGGACCCGCGCCGCAUUAGCUAGUUGGUAAGGUAACGGCUUACCAAGGCAACGAUGCGUAGCCGACCUGAGAGGGUGAUCGGCCACACUGGAAUUGAGACACGGUCCAGACUCCUACGGGAGGCAGCAGUAGGGAAUCUUCCGCAAUGGGCGAAAGCCUGACGGAGCAACGCCGCGUGAGUGAUGAAGGUCUUCGGAUCGUAAAACUCUGUUAUUAGGGAAGAACAAAUGUGUAAGUAACUAUGCACGUCUUGACGGUACCUAAUCAGAAAGCCACGGCUAACUACGUG
rnacentral:rRNA from 1 species